CAGGGAAUAGUUUAAUUAGAAUGUCAGCUUUGGGUGCUGAUGGUGAGGUUCUUGCCUCUUCCUUGA
rnacentral:tRNA from 1 species